AUUGAACGCUGGCGGCAGGCUUAACACAUGCAAGUCGAGCGGGGUGAUGGUGCUUGCACCAUCACUUAGCGGCGGACGGGUGAGUAAUGCUUAGGAAUCUGCCUAUUAGUGGGGGACAACAUCUCGAAAGGGAUGCUAAUACCGCAUACGUCCUACGGGAGAAAUCAGGGGAUCACUUGUGACCUUGCGCUAAUAGAUGAGCCUAAGUCGGAUUAGCUAGUUGGUGGGGUAAAGGCCUACCAAGGCGACGAUCUGUAGCGGGUCUGAGAGGAUGAUCCGCCACACUGGGACUGAGACACGGCCCAGACUCCUACGGGAGGCAGCAGUGGGGAAUAUUAGACAAUGGGGGGAACCCUGAUCCAGCCAUGCCGCAUGUGUGAAGAAGGCCUUAUGGUUGUAAAGCACUUUAAGCGAGGAGGAGGCUCUUUUGGUUAAUACCCAAGAUGAGUGGACGUUACUCGCAGAAUGAGCACCGGCUAACUCUGUGCCAGCCGCCGCAGUAA
rnacentral:rRNA from 1 species